rnacentral:lncRNA from 1 species
UUUCUUGAUAAUGGCUCUCUUCGCUACAUCAGCCCUCGCUCAAGCUCCCGCUCCUACACCAACCAUCACUCCUCCUGCCGCAACACCCCCUCCCGUUGCAACUCCUCCUCCCGUAGCUACUCCUCCACCAGUGGCCACUCCACCACCUGCCGCAACCCCAAUCCCAGCCCCAACCACCACUCCACCACCGGCCGCAACCCCAGCCCCCGCAACUACACCACCGUCGGCAGCUCCGUCUCCAUCUGUUGUUCCCGCCGCCUCUCCACCAGCUCCGGAAGGUCCCGCCUUGAGCCCAAGCGGACUUUCUCCAGGGCCUUCUGAUGAAGCGGCCGCCCCAAGUGCCGCUUUCUCCAACAAAGCUUUCACGGUUGGAACCGCUUUCACCGCUAUUGUGUACGCCGCUAUUAUGGUUUGAGAUCUUUUCACGUUUUCAUUUUUUUUUAGUUUGACCCCAAUUAUUUCAUAUCUUUGGUGUUAUGUGAGAAUUUCUGUAAAGUAUAAUAGAAUAUGUAUAUUAUUGUGUUGUGUUUGAUAAGAGAAUACAAUAUGCAUAUAUAUAGUGGUAACAUUAACAUAAUGCUAACACUAGAUAAUGCUAACUUUCCUAAACACUUAAUGUAAAUAUGCUAGAAUAUCUUGAGAGUAACUUGUUCUUCAAAUCUUUCCUUUUAGUCUUGAUGGUCUUCAUAGGUUUCAUGAUCUAGGUCCGUAAGAUACAUAUCUUCCGGCCCAACAUAUCUCUAAUAAUUUCAUUUAUUUUCGUACUUCGCUAUUUGAUCUUUCAAAUUUUUAUGAUAUUCACGUGUGCAAUGUAAUUAUUGAUGGGAACUAAUGGAAUGCUAUUGCUGUGUAAUUUACCAUUUGAAUGGCUUCAUAUGGUUUGUGUUAAAUCAAAGGCUAGAUUAAUAAAUAAAUUUCGUUAUUCUUUCGUUUAAUCAAAUUCUUACAACUUGCUCAUGUACUUCACCCGAAUAAUACAGUCGUGCAUAGCUACACAUCGUUGUCAAAUAAAAGUAAAAUCUAUGAUCAUGCAUGCCUUUUGGUACAUAUUGACAUGAGUUAUAUGACCCAAUUAGUUCCGCCCAGUAAUGUUGCUGCUCAUAAUAAAAAUAUAAAUUUUCUGAGUUAUUAUCGUUUUGCAAAAGAAUUUAUUUAUUUUUGAACAUAAUUUACAAAAUUUAAAAUAGGUUACUCUCUUCCGUUUCAUUUUAAUUGUCAUUUUAUGUUUCUGUACAUAUAUUUUAAAAAAUUAAUUUUACAUAUUUCAAAAAUAAAAAAUCAUUACCUAUACAAUUAACCAUAUUUCAACCAAUAAAAAAAUAAAUUAUAGAAUAUUGUUAAAAAAAUUUAUAUUAAAAUUUUAAAACAAAAUUUAUUUUGAAACAAAAAAUUUAAACUACGACAACUGAACUGAAAAUGGAAAGAAUAAUAAAUAAAUUUAUAAUACAGACCAUUUUGUUAGUUUUGUUCAUCUGUGAAGUGUUUGUUUUUUUUUGGUUGAUUUUUGUCGGUGUGAAGUGUUUGAACAACCAUAUGUUUUAACAUCUUUGUUCAACCACAUGAUUAAAUAAUCUCCUAAAAUACUUGGAUUCUAAAUUGUCUAUCUGAAAAUUACCAAUUAUUACCUAGAAAGGUGAUGGCAUUGAUUUUCAACCAAAAAGUCUUUGGUCCGGUCCCAUCUUCCGUCCUUGUCUUCUUUUUGGCAUCACACCAUCUCCUUACAGUGUUAGACUUGCAUAUCAAAGCAAAAAUGUAAGGCCAUAUCAGUUCAGACAAGUAAUCGCUCUGAAAUCUUGAAAACUUUCUUUGUCAACCUCACCUUUCUUUUUUAUAUUUCCCCUAUCUUGUUUUCGCUAAGUCUAAUUCUGGUUAAUUUUGUCAGCUUCAUUUCUCGAACUAGCAGUCAUUUCAAUUAUCAACAACCUCAGACUAGGCUUCAACUAUUAAUGCAAUUUCGGGAUUAUAUUAUUAUAUGGUUUGAUCACUUUGAUGUAUGGCAAGUGCAUUAUAAUGCACCAAAAUUUUGAUUUUUACAACAAACAUUAUACGGUUGGGCCCAAAAAUAUUUAGGGAACAUGUUGGUAGUGUAUUUGCAGCGAUAUUGGAUCAUUGUGUUUUUAUGCUGCUCGUAUCCGGUUUGUAGUUUAGAAUUGGCGGGAUUACUUAUAAAUAAUAAACGUGAAAAUGUGUUUUUUUAUUUGUGGAACUAUGAGAUAUAUUUAAGGCUGCUAGUGCUUCUCUGGCUUGUUUUUGGUUCCCGCCAAAUAUUAUAGCGGGAAACAAACCGACUCGGUUAUGCGAGAGCUGACUUUCUUCUUUUUAAAAAGUGGAUCGUAUCAUCGUAAUGGGCUUUGAAUCUAGCCCAUUCAUAUAAUAUAGUUUGUUAUAUCCUGACCUUCGUUAUCACUUGAAUCAGUCAAAAUCCAUUGGUUAUGGGCUUCCGAUUGAGGCCAAUUUGAUAGCAUAAGACAAAACGGAUCAGUGGGCUGACAUGAAAUAUUUGGAGAUUAGAGGUUUGUUUAUUACUUUCUUUUGGGUGGGUAGAAAACCGAACCCAAACCGACUCAAGCCAAACCAAAGUAUAUGUCUAAACUAUUUGUUUCAAGAUUUUAUCAAUCCAAAUAGUUCGGUUUGGUUUGGUUUUAAACUGAAGUAUCUUUUAGUUAGAUUAAUUAAAUAUAUUAAUAAUAUUAUCAUUUAAUAUAUUAAACCAUUUAACCCAAACAAUUGAAUAAAAUUAUAUAUUUUACAUCUAAAUGAAUAGAAUAAACCCAACUAAAUAUAAGAUAAAAAAAAUAUGAAUCUCAUACAAUAGCAUUAAAACCGAAAAAUUAUCUACAAUAUUCAUAUUAGGUCUGAAGAUUAAAACAUGAAAUUAUUGGAUUAUGUUUUCUGCAAUUUUAUUAUUAAGUUUGGUUCUACAUUCAAAUAUGAAGAAAAUAAUGAUUUUGUGUUAAAUGAUGAUUUGUGUAUGUUCUUAUAAAUUAAAUUUUUUAACUCACAUAGAACAAAACUAAAAAAUCAAGUCGAUUAAACUGAACAAACACAACCGAACAAAACACUAACCAAAUUGAACUAAAACCGAACCGAACACUAACUAAACCAAACUAAACCGAACACAAACCAAACUAAUUUGGGUUGAUUUGGUUAAAAUUUUCUUAGAUCCAAAUAAAGCAAACUGAACUCUAGUUAAACUGAAAUGUCCACUCCUACUUUCUUGGCUAUAACCUGAUAUUUUUCUUCAUGAAUCAUUGUAAUUAUCUAGUACAUUAGCUAAGUUGUAUACACUUUAUGAUUAUUGAUUAGAGGGAAGAUUAAUGCACUAAUCAUUAAAACAAAAUUAAUUAUUUCACUUCUUUAUUGACAUGAUUUAUUAACUCACAAUCAAACUGGUAUGAUAAAAACCACUGCUUAUAUAAACUAAUCAAUUAAUUCUUUUUUAUGUUUUUGAAAAAUGUCAUUUAACAUUUUCUUAUUACAAAAAAAUAUCAUUUUAGAAUUUCAAUGCAAUUUUUAAUGUAAUAUUAAUUACAAAUUCAUUGAUUUGAUAAAUAAUUUUAUUUAUAUUAAAUUUUAUUGAUUUUAAUGUAAUAUUAAUUACAAAUUCAUUGAUUUGAUAAAUAAUUUUGUUUAUAUUAAAUAUUAUUGAUUGAAUAUGUAUAAUUAUAAGAAUUUAAGUGUAUUCAAUUAUUAUUUUUUAAUUUGUGUGAAAAUGUUAAAGUGACAUAUUUUUGCAAAAUGGAUAAAUUAGUAAGAUGAAUUAAAUUAAUAAUCAGGUGGGCUAACAUUUUAGCUUAUUUAGAGCUUCUAUAGUUAUAGUAUUUUCUGGGGAAUAAUGCAUUGUAGUUUCCUUUACACCUCAAGUGACAGUCACUUGAGAGCUAUGUAUAUGAUUCAAUUUGAGUCCAAAAACUCAAGAAAGUUCACUUUACAGUUCGAAUCACUGUCGAAAUAGCCUGUAAAUGUAUCAGAAGUUUUCUACACUUGUUUUGGCUAGUGCUUCCUUAUACUAUUAGUCAAAAUAUUUAAAUCCACUGACAGCUAUUUCCAACGGAUAUAAUAGCAAUGUCCAACGGUAACAACAUCAAUAAUAUUCACAGUACCUAAUCCAAUUAUCAAUCACCCGGCACAUGGGAUUAAUGAUUAAUUACGAGUUUUCAAAUUUUUUUAUAAGAUAACUUAAAGUAUUAUGCCAAAUGCAUACUAUAUAUAAAAGAAAACAAAAAGGGUCGUUGCUGUAUAUACAAUUAAAGAAUGGGUGGAUCAAGUAGACAGAAAGACAUGCGAAGUUGCAACUUCUUGAUUCUUGAACUAAACAUGUUAGCUGUCUCCCCACAUUUGCCACGUCUUGCAUAUAAAGUUGGCUAAGAUAAUAAUCUUCGAAAAACAUAUCACUACAAAUUUUAGAACCUCUCUACAAUUAUAUUCCCCAGCCAUUCACAUGCAGCUACGUCAAAAGCUUACUCACGUGAUAAAAAUUAACUUCUCCUAAUUUAACAUUUUUAAUCCAUGGUCUGUGACUCUGUGGAUUGUAUACUAAGCAAAGUCAAUAUAAUAAGAUGUUAAAACUUCAUCCGACUAAUAUUUUGGUAUUCAUCUUCCAUAUGUAAUUCGGUUACCAAAUAAAAUAUGUUCAUUAGCCGUUAUCAAUAUAUGUAAAUUAAUCAUGGUCCAAUUAUCUUCAAUUCUGUUGGAAAAAAAACAAAAUAUUAAUGCCUCGGCCUUGGAGUCUUGGAGAGUAGUAGACUCUGUUUAGCAACCCCAUGUUCCAAUUAUGCGUUUGCAUGUUAGUCUGCAAGUUUUAUUUUUAAUAUAUUAAAGAUUUUAGGAAUCUCGGUUUAACUAAUUGAAAUAAUUCUUAAUUUCAUCCCUCCCCUUUUUAUACAUCUCCUCCAUUUUCCACAGACUUCACAACUCUCUAACAAUCUCAUAAUCUCUCACUCUAAAACCAGAAGAAGAAGCAUUAUCUAGAAGGAAAAAAAAGUGAGAGAUGGCUUCCAAAAUGGUCCAAAUUUUCUUGAUAAUGGCUCUCUUCGCUACAUCAGCCCUCGCUCAAGCUCCCGCUCCUACACCAACCAUCACUCCUCCUGCCGCAACACCCCCUCCCGUUGCAACUCCUCCUCCUGUAGCUACUCCUCCACCAGUGGCCACCCCACCACCAGCCGCAACCCCAGCCCCAGCCACCACUCCACCACCAGCCGCAACUCCAGCUCCCGCCACUACUCCACCAUCAGCCGCUCCUUCUCCCUCUGAUGUUCCCGCCGCAUCUCCACCUGCGCCGGAAGGUCCCGCAUCGAGCCCUGACGGUC